UACGGAGGGUGCGAGCGUUGUUCGGAAUCACUGGGCGUAAAGCGCGUGUAGGCGGCCCAUUAAGUCUGAUGUGAAAGCCCGGGGCUCACCCCCGGAAGUGCAUUGGAAACUGAUGGACUCGAGUCCCGGAGAGGAGAGUGGAAUUCCUGGUGUAGCGGUGAAAUGCGCAGAUAUCAGGAAGAACACCAACGGCGAAGGCAGCUCGCUGGGACGGUACUGACGCUGAGACGCGAAAGCGUGGGGAGCGAACAGG
rnacentral:rRNA from 1 species